rnacentral:rRNA from 1 species
GAUGAACGCUGGCGGCGUGCCUAAUACAUGCAAGUCGAGCGAACAGAUGAGGAGCUUGCUCCUCUGACGUUAGCGGCGGACGGGUGAGUAACACGUGGAUAACCUACCUAUAAGACUGGGAUAACUUCGGGAAACCGGAGCUAAUACCGGAUAAUAUAUUUAACCGCAUGGUUCAAUAGUGAAAGACGGUUUUGCUGUCACUUAUAGAUGGAUCCGCGCCGCAUUAGCUAGUUGGUAAGUUAACGGCUUACCAAGGCAACGAUGCGUAGCCGACCUGAGAGGGUGAUCGGCCACACUGGAACUGAGACACGGUCCAGACUCCUACGGGAGGCAGCAGUAGGGAAUCUUCCGCAAUGGGCGAAAGCCUGACGGAGCAACGCCGCGUGAGUGAUGAAGGUCUUCGGAUCGUAAAACUCUGUUAUUAGGGAAGAACAAAUGUGUAAGUAACUAUGCACGUCUUGACGGUACCUAAUCAGAAAGCCACGGCUAACUACGUG